UGGUACAAAGGAAACAGUUUAUUGUCCAGCAUCAGUGUGUCUGAUCUCAGCAUCAGUCUCUCUCUACCUCUGGAGGUGGAAUAUCAGGAUAAAAACACCUACAGCUGUGUGCUGAACAAUCCCAUAAGCAACCAGACGAGACACCUGAACAUCACUCAGCUCUGUCACACAUGUGCAGAUCAACGCCUACCUUUGUACAUAGUGCUGAUCUCUGCUGCUGCUGCUGGAUCUCUGUUGAUUGUACUCGUGAUCUGCUGCACCUGCAGGAGAUGUAGAAAAACAGUCGAGACCCGGGAGGAAGACAGAACUGAUUCAGUAUUGUGUAAACCAACAACACGACUAAAGAAAUCGAAGACAGAUGCUGUGUAUGAAAAUGUUCC